AUGUGUAUACCAAAGAAGAAAGGUGGUGUGGGGUUUAGGGUUAUUCAUUGUUUCAAUCUUGCACUAUUGGAAAAACAGGCUUGGCGUCUUAUUGAUAACCCAGAUUCACUAUGUGUUAUUAUUCUCAAGGCUAAAUAUUUCCCUGAUGGAGAUCUUAUGAAUGCUACUUUGAAAACGAAACAUAUUAUACUUGGCAGCACAUUAUGGCAGGAGUGGACACCUUGA
rnacentral:rRNA from 1 species